rnacentral:rRNA from 1 species
CCUACGGGAGGCAGCAGUGGGGAAUAUUCCACAAUGGGGGAAACCCUGAUGCAGCGACGCCGCGUGAGUGAAGAAGUAUCUCGGUACAUAAAGCUCUAUCAGCAGGGAAGAAAAUGACGGUACCUGACUAAGAAGCCCCGGCUAACUACGUGCCAGCAGCCGAGGGCAUACGUAGGGGGCAAGCGUUAUCCGGAUUUACUGGGUGUAAAGGGAGCGGAGACGGCAGCACAAGUCUGGAGUGAAAUCCCGGGGCUUAACCCCGGAACUGCUUUGGAAACUGUGCGGCUGGAGUGCAGGAGGGGUAAGCGGAAUUCCUAGUGUAGCGGUGAAAUGCGUAGAUAUUAGGAGGAACACCGGUGGCGAAGGCGGCUUACUGGACUGUAACUGACGUUGAGGCUCGAAAGCGUGGGUAGCAAACAGGAUUAGAUACCACGGUAGUC